rnacentral:rRNA from 1 species
UACGGGGGGGGCAAGUGUUCUUCGGAAUUACUGGGCGUAAAGGGCACGUAGGCGGGGAAUCGGGUUGAAAGUGAAAGUCGCCAAAAAGUGGCGGAAUGCUCUCGAAACCAAUUCACUUGAGUGAGACAGAGGAGAGUGGAAUUUCGUGUGUAGGGGUGAAAUCCGUAGAUCUACGAAGGAACGCCAAAAGCGAAGGCAGCUCUCUGGGUCCCUACCGACGCUGGGGUGCGAAAGCAUGGGGAGCGAACAGG